rnacentral:rRNA from 1 species
UUGACGGGGGCCCGCACAAGCGGAGGAACAUGUGGUUUAAUUCGAUGAUACGCGAGGAACCUUACCUGGGCUUAAAUGCAGAGUGCAUGAAGUGGAAACACUUCUUCCCUUCGGGGCUCUUUGCAAGGUGCUGCAUGGUUGUCGUCAGCUCGUGCCGUGAGGUGUCGGGUUAAGUCCCAUAACGAGCGCAACCCUUAUCGUUAGUUGCCAGCGGGUAAAGCCGGGAACUCUAGCGAAACUGCCGGUGUAAACCGAGAGGAAGGUGGGGAUGACGUCAAAUCAGCACGGCCCUUAUGUCCAGGGCUACACACGUGUUACAAUGGCCGGUACAGAGGGCAGCUACCUGGAGACAGGAUGCGAAUCUCGAAAGCCGGUCUCAGUUCGGAUCGGAGUCUGCAACUCGACUCCGUGAAGCUGGAUUCGCUAGUAAUCGCGCAUCAGCCAUGGCGCGGUCGAAUACGUUCCCGGGCCUU